rnacentral:misc_RNA from 1 species
AACAAGGCGUACCUGCGGACCUGCGGAGGGAUCAUUAAUGUAAACUUUAUCCACUUGUGGGUCAGCUUUGAGGGGGGUUUCUACUCUCUUCAAGUGUUGGCUCGCAAGCUCCCGUGCUUAUUUUAAAGUCCAUAACCAUCUUUUCUUCUUCUGAGUGAGGCUUUCUCCUCAGAUGAGUGAGACGGUUCCUCUCCAUUGGCAUAGUCGAUCACACCUAUGUGUGGUUGAUGUUUGUCAAUG